CUAGCUACAGGCUUAACACAUGCAAGUCGAGGGGCAUCAGGAAGAAAGCUUGCUUUCUUUGCUGGCGACCGGCGCACGGGUGAGUAACACGUAUCCAACCUGCCCUUUACUCGGGGAUAGCCUUUCGAAAGAAAGAUUAAUACCCGAUAGCAUAAUGAUUCCGCAUGGUUUCAUUAUUAAAGGAUUCCGGUAGAGGAUGGGGAUGCGUUCCAUUAGGUUGUUGGUGAGGUAACGGCUCACCAAGCCUUCGAUGGAUAGGGGUUCUGAGAGGAAGGUCCCCCACAUUGGAACUGAGACACGGUCCAAACUCCUACGGGAGGCAGCAGUGAGGAAUAUUGGUCAAUGGGCGCUAGCCUGAACCAGCCAAGUAGCGUGAAGGAUGAAGGCUCUAUGGGUCGUAAACUUCUUUUAUAUAAGAAUAAAGUGCAGUAUGUAUACUGUUUUGUAUGUAUUAUAUGAAUAAGGAUCGGCUAACUCCGUGCCAGCAGCCGCGGUAAUACGGAGGAUCCGAGCGUUAUCCGGAUUUAUUGGGUUUAAAGGGAGCGUAGGUGGACUGGUAAGUCAGUUGUGAAAGUUUGCGGCUCAACCGUAAAAUUGCAGUUGAUACUGUCAGUCUUGAGUACAGUAGAGGUGGGCGGAAUUCGUGGUGUAGCGGUGAAAUGCUUAGAUAUCACGAAGAACUCCGAUUGCGAAGGCAGCUCACUGGACUGCAACUGACACUGAUGCUCGAAAGUGUGGGUAUCAAACAGGAUUAGAUACCCUGGUAGUCCACACAGUAAACGAUGAAUACUCGCUGUUUGCGAUAUACAGUAAGCGGCCAAGCGAAAGCAUUAAGUAUUCCACCUGGGGAGUACGCCGGCAACGGUGAAACUCAAAGGAAUUGACGGGGGCCCGCACAAGCGGAGGAACAUGUGGUUUAAUUCGAUGAUACGCGAGGAACCUUACCCGGGCUUAAAUUGCAGUGGAAUGAUGUGGAAACAUGUCAGUGAGCAAUCACCGCUGUGAAGGUGCUGCAUGGUUGUCGUCAGCUCGUGCCGUGAGGUGUCGGCUUAAGUGCCAUAACGAGCGCAACCCUUAUCUUUAGUUACUAACAGGUUAUGCUGAGGACUCUAGAGAGACUGCCGUCGUAAGAUGUGAGGAAGGUGGGGAUGACGUCAAAUCAGCACGGCCCUUACGUCCGGGGCUACACACGUGUUACAAUGGGGGGUACAGAAGGCCGCUACCUGGUGACAGGAUGCCAAUCCCAAAAACCUCUCUCAGUUCGGAUCGAAGUCUGCAACCCGACUUCGUGAAGCUGGAUUCGCUAGUAAUCGCGCAUCAGCCAUGGCGCGGUGAAUACGUUCCCGGGCCUUGUACACACCGCCCGUCAAGCCAUGAAAGCCAGGGGUACCUGAAGUACGUAACCGCAAGGAGCGUCCUAGGGUAAAACUGGUAAUUGGGGCUAAGU
rnacentral:rRNA from 1 species